rfam:Gossypium arboreum cultivar AKA8401 contig_20329_1, whole genome shotgun sequence.
UGUUAAAAAUUUCAUUCAUUUUUAUUAUUAAAAACUAGCAUGGCUAACUAAAUAAUCAGACAAUUACAUGUGGCGUGCUAUAUAUACCUAAUUCUAACAUAUCUUUAAUAGUAAAAAGGGAUGGAAUUUGUUACA